CCUACGGGGGGCAGCAGUGGGGAAUAUUGGGCAAUGGGCGCAAGCCUGACCCAGCAACGCCGCGUGAAGGAAGAAGGCUUUCGGGUUGUAAACUUCUUUUAAGGGGGACGAGCAGAAGACGGUACCCCUUGAAUAAGCCACGGCUAACUACGUGCCAGCAGCCGCGGUAAUACGUAGGUGGCAAGCGUUGUCCGGAGUUACUGGGUGUAAAGGGCGUGCAGCCGGAGAGACAAGUCAGAUGUGAAAUCCACGGGCUCAACCCGUGAACUGCAUUUGAAACUGUUUCCCUUGAGUGUCGGAGAGGUAGUCGGAAUUCCUAGUGUAGCGGUGAAAUGCGUAGAUAUAAGGAAGAACACCAGUGGCGAAGGCGGAUUACUGGACGAUAACUGACGGUGAGGCGCGAAAGCGUGGGGAGCAAACAGGAUUAGAUACCCUGGUAGUC
rnacentral:rRNA from 1 species